UGUAAAGUGUGAAGUGAUGAAGUACAGUGCUGAUUUGGUUACUUGUGUAUUGUAUGGAGCGAGUAGUGAACCCUGCACACUGCAUU
rnacentral:ncRNA from 1 species